GGCUCUGAAUGUGACAGACACGUUGACUAAACUUCUCACACGAGCAAAACAUGAUCACACCUUAGUACUCUUUGGGUGUUAAUCACAUAGUGAUGUGAACUAGAUUAUUGACUCGAGUAAACCCUUUGGGUGUUUGAUGUCUACUACACAACCUUCUUCUUGUAGAUGUUGUUGGGCCUCCAAGUGUAGAGGUUUGUAGGACAGUAGCAAAUUUCACUCAAGUGGAUGACCUAAGGUUUAGCAAUCUGUGGGAGGCGUAGGAUGAAGAUGGUCUCUCUCAAACAACCCUACAACCAAGUAACAAAGAGGCUCUUGUGUCCCCAACACAACCAAUACAAUAGUAAAUUGUAUAGGUGCACUAGUUCGGCGAAGAGAUGGUGAUACAAGUGCAAUAUGGAUGGUAGAUAAAGGUUUUUGUAAUCUGAAAAUAUAAAAACAGCAAGGUAGCAAGCGAUAAAAGUGAGCGUAAACGGUAUUGCAAUGGUAGGAAACAAGGCAAAGGGUUCAUACUUUCACUAGUGCAAGUUCUCUCAACAAUAAUAACAUAGAUAGAUCAUAUAAUAAUCCCUUAACAUGCAACAAAGAGUCACUCCAAAGCCACUAAUAGAGGAGAACAAACGAAGAGAUUAUGGUAGGGUACGAAACCACCUCAAAGUUAUCCUUUCUGUUCUAUCUAUUCAAGAGUUCAUAGUAAAACAACAUGAAGCUAUUCUUUCCGCUCAAUCUAUCAUAGAGUUCAUACUAGAAUAACACCUUAAGACACAAAUCAACCAAAACCCUAAUGUCACCUAGAUACUCCAUUGUCACCUCAAGUAUUCGUGGGCAUGAUUAUAUGAUAUGCAUCACACAAUCUCAGAUUCAUCUAUUCAACCAACACAAAGUACUUCAAAGAGUGCCCCAAAGUUUCUACCAGAGAGUCAAGACGAAAACGUGUGCCAACCCCUAUGCAUAGGUUCAUGGGCGGAACCCGCAAGUUGGUCACCAAAACAUACAUCAAGUGGUACAUGAUAUCCCAUUGUCAGCACAGAUAAGCACGACAAGACAUACAUCAAGUGUUGUCAAAUCAUUAAAGACUCAAUCCGAUAAGACAACUUCAAAGGGAAAACUCAAUCCAUUACAAGAGAGUAGAGGGGGAGAAACAUCAUAAGAUCCAACUAUAAUAGCAAAGCUCGCGAUACAUCAAGAUCGUGCCAUAGAGAGAACACGAGAGAGAGAGAGAGAGAUCAAACACAUAGCUACUGGUACAUACCCUCAGCCCCGAGGGUGAACUACUCCCUCCUCGUCAUGGAUAGCACCGGGAUGAUGAAGAUGGCAACCGGUGAUGGGUUCCCCCUCCGGCAGGGUGCCGGAACGGGCUCCCGAGUGGUUUUUGGUUGCUACAGAGGCUUGUGGCAGCGGAACUCCCGAUCUAUCUUCUGUUUUGAUGUUUUUAGGGUACGUAGGCUUAUAUAGGCGAAAGAAGUCGGUCAGGGGAGCCUCGAGGGGCCCACGAGAGGGUAGGGCGGGCCCAGGGGGGUGGGCACGCCCCCCUAUCUCGUGGCCUCCUCGAGGAUCUUCUGACGUGAACUCCAAGUCUCCCGGAUCAUAUUCUUCCUAAAAAUCAUGCUCCCGAAGGUUUCAUUCCUUUUGGACUCCGUUUUAUAUUCCUUUUCUUCGAAAUACUGAAACAGGCAAUAAAAUAGCAAUAUGGGUUGGGCCUCCGGUUAAUAGGUUAGUCCCAAAAGUAAUAUAAAAUUGUAUAAUAAAGCCCAUAAACAUCCAAAAGGGGUAAUAUAAUAGCAUGGAACAAUAAAAAAUUAUAGAUACGUUGGAGACGUAUCAAGCAUCCCCAAGCUUAAUUUCUGCUCGUCCACGAGUAGGUAAAUGAUAAAAACAGAAUUUUUGAUGUGGAAUGCUACCUAGCAUAAUUCUCAAUGUAAUUCUCUUUAUUGUGCCAUGAAUGUUCAGAUCCAAAUGAUUCAAGAUAAAAGCUUAUAAAACAUAAAAAUGAUAAUGCUUCAAAGCAUACUAACAAAUAAUCAUGUCCUAUCAAAAUAGCAUAGCCAAAGAAAUCUUAUCCCUACAAAAUCAUAUAGUUAGGCCAUGCUUCAUUUUCAUUACACAAAAUACUCCCAUCAUGCACAACCCCGAUGACGAGCCGAGCAAUUGUUUCAUACUUUUUAACGCGCUUUAGCUUUUUUCAACUCUUACGCAAUACAUGAGUGUAAGCCAUGGACAUAGCACUAAGGUGGUAAAAGAUGGUGGUUGUCAGGACAAAAAGAGGGAGAAGAUAGUCUCACAUCAACUAGGCGUACCAAUGGGCUAUGGAGAUGCCCAUCAAUAGAUAUCAAUGUGAGUGAGUAGGGAUUGCCAUGCAACGGAUGCACUAGAGCUAUAAAUAUAUGAAAGCUCAACAAAAAGAACUAAGUGGGUGUGCAUCCAACUCGCUUGCUCACGAAGACCUAGGGCAUUUUGAGGAAGCCCAUCAUUGGAAUAUACAAGCCAAGUUCUAUAAUGAAAGAUUCCCACUAGUAUAUGAAAGUAACAACAUAGGAGACUCUCUAUCAUGAAGAUCAUGGUGCUACUUUGAAACACAAGUGUGGAAAAAGAGAUAGUAGCAUUGUUCCUUCUCUCUUUUUCUCUCAUUUUUUUUCUGUUUUUUCUUUUUCUUUGGCCUCUUUUUUUCUUUUCUUUUUGGCCUUUCUCUUUUUUUCUCCUUUUUUUUCCUUUUUGUAAAGUCCGAAGUCUCAUCCCAACUUGUGGGGGAAUCAUAGUCUUCAUCAUCCUUUCCUCACCGAGACAAUGCUCUAAAAAUGAAGAUCAUCACACUUUUAUGGAUUUACAACUCAAAACUAGAACAAGAUAUGGCUCUAUAUGAAUGCCUCCGGCGGUGUACCGGGAUAUGCAAUGAAUCAAGAGCGACAUGUAUGAAAAUUAUGAAGGUGGCCUUGCCACAAAUACGAUGUCAACUACAUGAUCAUGCGAAGAGCAAUAUGACAAUGAUGAAAUGUGUCAUAAUAAACGGAAUGGUGGAAAGUUGCAUGGCAAUAUAUCUCGGAAUGGCUAUGGAAAUGCCAUAAUGGGUAGGUAUGGUGGCUAUUUUGAGGAAGGUAAAUUAUGGGUUCAAUACCGUCGAAAGUUGCGCGGUGAUAUGAGAGGCUAGCAAAGUGGAAGGAUGAGUGUGCGUAUAUCCAUGGACUCACAUUAGUCAUAAAGAACUCAUAUAUUUAUUGCAAAAGUCUACUUAGCCCUCGAAGCAAAGUACUACUAUGCAUGCCCCAAGAGGGAUAGAUUGGUAGGAAAAGACCAUCGCUCGUCCCCGACUUCCACUCAUAAGGAAGAUAAUAAAAAGAACACCUCAUGCAGCAAAUUUGUCACACAACUUUUACCAUACGUGCAUGCUACGGGAAUUGCCAACUUCAACAAAAGUAUUUCUCAAUUUCAUAAUUAUCCACUAGCAUGACCCUAACAUUACUACCUUUAUAUAUCAAAACAAUUAUCAAGCAACAAAUUGAUCAUAGCAUCCAAUUCACUUCCUAUGAUAGUUUUUAUUAUACCCAACUUGGAUGCUCAUCAUUCUAGGACCAAAUUUGUAACCAUAGAAAAUACCAUGCUGUUCUAAAAGACUCUCAAAAUAAUAUAACUGAAGCAUGAGAGACUAGCAAUUUCUUCAAAAUUAAUCCACCGCCAUGCUCUAAAAGAUAUAAGUGAAGCACUAGAGCAAAUGACAAACUACUCCGAAAGAUAUAAGUGAAGAUCAAUGAGUAGUCAAAUAAUUGUGCAACUAUGUGAAGACUCUCUAACAUUUAAGAAUUUCAGAUCUUGGUAUUGUAUUCAAACAGCAAGCAAAGCAAAAUAAAAUGACAUUGCAAGGAUAGCAUAACUCAUGUGAAGAAGCAAAAACUUAGGCUCAACCAAUACUAACCGAUGAUUGUUGAAGAAGAAAGGUGGGAUGCCUAACGGGGCAUCCCAAGCUUAGAUGCUUGAGACUUCUUGAAAUAUUAUCUUGGGGUGCUUUGGGCAUCCCCAAGCUUGAACUUUUGUGUCUCCUUAAUUCCUCUCAUAUCAUGGUUUCUCUUUUUAUCAAAAGCUUCAUCCACACCAAACUCAACAAGAACUCGUGAGAUAGAUUAGUAUAAACCAAUGCAAAACCUUAUCAUUUUUUACUGUAAAAAAUCACUAAGAUUAUUAUUAAAAAUUGCAUACUAAAUGCCUCUGCAUAUUUAAUACUCCUAUCCUCAAAUAGAAUCAUUAAACAAGAAAACAUACGCAAACAAUGCAAACAUAACAGAAAUCUGCCAAAACAGUACAGUCUGUAAAGAAUGCCAGCGUAUCAAUACUUCCCUAACUCCAAAACUUAUGAGAAAAAUUCUAAGCUGUAGAAGAUUUAUCAUAGCUCAAUAUGCAAAAAUAUUCAACAUUAUACCAUUCUCUGACUUUUCUAGGGAAUUUUUGCAACAGCGGUAAACUUUCUGUUUUCAAACAGCAGCAUGUAUACUAGCAAAAUAAGCAUGGUAAAUGCUAUCCUUGAUUUUUUUUAUUGAAAAUAAAGACGCAAAAAAUUAUUCUAAUUAACAGCAAGCAAAAACUAAUAAAAUAAAAUGACGCUCCAAGGAAAACACAUAUCAUGUGGCGAAUAAAAAUAUAGCUCCAAGUAAAGUUACCGAUGAACGAAGACGAAAGAGGGGAUGCCUUCCGGGGCAUCCCGAAGCUUAGGCUCUUGGUUUUCCUUGAAUAUCACCUUGGGGUGCCUUGGGCAUCCCCAAGCUUAGGCUCUUGCCACUCCUUAUUCCAUAGUCCAUCGAAUCUUUACCCAAAACUUGAAAACUUCAACCACACAAAACUCAAAACAAAACUUGUAAGUUCCGUUAGUAUAAGAAAUAAAACCACCACUUAGCUACUGUAAUGAACUCAUUCUAAAUUUAUAUUGGUGUUAAAAAUACUGUAUUCCAACUUCUCUAUGUUCAUACCCUUACAUACUAGCCAUAGAUUCAUCAAAAUAAGCAAACAACACAAUGAAAACAGAAUCUGUCAAAAACAGAACAGUCUGUAGUAAUCUGUAUCAAACGUAUACUUCUGGAACUCAAAAAAUUCUGAAAUAUAUUUCUGGACCUCAGUAAUUUGUUUAUUAAUCAUAUACAAAAAGAAUCAACCUAAAAGCACUCUCCAAUAAAAAAUGGCAGCUAUUCUCGUGAGUGCAAAAGUUUCUGUUUUUUACAGCAAGAUCACAUAAACUUCACCCAAGUCUUCCCAAUGGUUCUACUUGGCACAAACACUAAUUAAAACAUGAAACCACAUCUAACCAGAGGCUAUAUGAAUUAUUUAUUACUAAAAAGGAACAAAAAGAAAGGAACAAAAGUAAAGUUGGGUUGCCUCCCAACAAGGGCUAUCGUUUAACGCCCCUAGCUAGGCAUGAUGAAAUGAUGCUCACAUAAAAGAUAAGAAUUGAAACAUAAAGAGAGCAUCAUGAAGAAUAUGACUAGCACAUUUAAGUCCAACCCACUUCCUAUGCAUAGGGAUUUUGUGAGCAAACAACUUAUGGGAACACUAAUCAUCUAGCGUAGGAAGGUAAAACAAGCAUAGCUUUAAAAAUUUCAACACAUAGAGAGGAAACUUAAUAUUAUUGCAAUUCCUACAAGCAUAUGUUUGAUACGUCCAUUUUGCAUCAUGCUUUUAUAUCAAUAUUUAUUGCAUUAUGGGCUGUUAUUACACAUUAUAUCUCAGUACUUAUGGCUAUUCUCUCUUAUUUUACAAGGUUUACCAUGAAGAGGGGGAAUGCCGGCAGCUGGAAUUCUGGCUGGAAAAGGAGCAAACGUUGGAAACCUAUUCUGCACAGCUCAAAAAGUCAUGAAACUCCACAAAACAACUUUUUGGAAUUAAUAAGAAUUUAUGAGUGAAAGAAAUAGGCCAGGGGGCCCACACCCUGUCCAGGAGACAGGGGGCACGCCCCCUAUAGGGCGCGCCCCCCUAUCUCCUAGGCCGCCUGGUGGGCCUCAGGCGUCCAUCUUCUGCUAUAUCAUCAUGUUUACCCUGGAAAAAAUCGUGGGCAAGCUUACGGGACGAAACUCCGCCGCCACGAGGCGGAACCUUGGCGGAAUCAAUCUAGGGCUCCAGCUGAGCUGUUCUGCCGGGGACACUUCCCUCCAAGAGGGGGAAAUCAUCACCAACGAUCCUCUCAUCGGGAGGGGGUCAAUCUCCAUCAACAUCUUCACCAGCACCAUCUCCUCUCAAACCCUAGUUCAUCUCUUGUAUCCAAUCUUGUAUUAAAACCACAAAUUGGUACCUGUGGGUUGCUAGUAGUGUUGAUUACUCCUUGUAGUUGAUACUAAUUGGUUUACUUGGUGGAAGAUCAUAUGUUCAGAUCCUUUAUGCAUAUUAUUCCUCCUCUGAUUAUGAACAUGAAUAUGCUUUGUGAGUAGUUACGUUUGUUCCUGAGGACAUGGGAGAAGUCUUGCUAUUAGUAGUCAUGUGAAUUUGGUAUGCGUUCGAUAUUUUGAUGAGAUGUAUGUUGUCUUUUCCUCUAGUGGUGUUAUGUGAACGUCGACUAGAUGACACUUCACCAUUAAUUGGGCCUAGAGGAAGGCAUGGGUAAGUAAUAAGUAGAUGAUGGGUUGCUAGAGUGACAAAAGCUUAAACCCUAGUUUAUGCGUUGCUUUGUUAGGGGUUGAUAUGGAUCCAUAUGUCUAAUGUUGUGGUUAGGUUUACCUUAAUACUUAUUUUUGUAGUUGCGGAUGCUUGCAAUAGGGGUUAAUCAUAAGUGGGAUGCUUGUCCAAGUUAAGGCAGUACCCAAGUACCGGUCCACCCACAUAUCAAAUUAUCAAAUUACCGAACGCGAAUCAUUUGAGCAUGAUGAAAACUAGCUUGACGAUAAUUCCCAAUGUGUCCAUGGGAGCUCCUUUCUCAUUAUUAGAAAUUGUCUAGGCUUAUCCUUUGCUACAUAAAGGAUUGGGCCACCUUGCUGCUCUUUGUUUACUUUAUUUACUUCUUGCUUGUUACUAUUUAUCUUAUCACAAAACUAUCUGUUACCUACAAUUUCAGUGCUUGCAGAGAAAACCUUACUGAAAACCGCUUAUCAUUUCCUUCUGCUCCUCGUUGGGUUCGACACUCUUAAUUAUCGAAAGGACUAUGAUAGAUCCCCUACACUUGUGGGUCAUCAAGACUCUUUUCUGGCACCGUUGCCGGAGAGUGUAGCACUUUUGGUGAGUGGAACUUGGUAAGGAAACAUUUAUACAGUGUGCUGAAAUUUUCUGUUACUUGUUACUAUGGAAACUAAUCCUUUGAGGGGCUUGUUUGGGGUAUCUUCCCCCCAACAAGAAGAGCAAAGAGUUUCUCCUCAACCUACUGAACUUGAUGAAAAUGUUUACUUCGAGAUUCCUUCGGGUAUGAUAGAGAAACUGCUAGCUAAUCCAUUUGCAGGAGAUGGAACAUUGCAUCCCGAUUUACACCUUAUCUUUGUGGAUGAAGUUUGUGGAUUAUUUAUGCUUGCAGGUAUUCCCGAUGAUGUUGUCAAAAGGAAGGUCUUCCCUUUAUCUUUAGAAGGGAGAUGCAAUGACAUGGUAUAGGCUAUGUGAUGAUACAAGAUCUUGGAAUUAUAAGCGAUUGAAGUUGGAGUUUCGCCAGAAGUUCUAUCCUAUGCAUCUUGUUCAUCGUGAUCGUAAUUACAUAUAUAAUUUCUGGCCUCGCGAAGGAGAAAUCAUCUCUCAAGCUUGGGGGAGGCUUAAGUCAAUGUUAAAUUCAUGCCCCAAUCAUGAGCUCUCUCGGGAAAUGAUUAUUCAGAAUUUCUAUGUUCGGCUUUCUCUUGAUAAUCGCAACCUGCUCGAUACUUCCUAUGCUGGUUCUUAUAUGCUGAAGACUAUUGAUUUCAAAUGGGACUUAUUGGAAAGAAUUAAACGCAACUCUGAAGAUUGGGGUUCCGACGAUGAGGAGUCAGGUAUGACACCUAAGUUCGAUUGUGUUAAAUCUUUUAUGGAUACCGAUGUUUUUCGUGGAUUUAGCGCUAAGUAUGGACUUGACUCUGAGAUAGUAGCUACUUUUUGUGAAUCUUUUGCUACUCACGUUGAUCUCACUAAGGAGAAGUGGUUUAAAUAUAAUCCUCCUAUUCAAGUGAAAGUAGUUUCACCUAUUACAGUCGAAGAAAAGACUAUUACCUAUAGCGAUCCUAUUGUUGCUACUGCUUAUGUUGAAAAACCUCCUCUUCCUGUUAGGAUAAAGGAUAAUGCUAAAGCUUCGACUGUUGUUCGUAAGAGUAAAACUAGGACUUAUACACCUCCUUAGCAAAUUAAUGUUGAACCUAGUAUUGCUAUGGUUAAAGAUCUCUUGGAUGACGACUUAGAUGGGCAUGUUAUUUCUUUCACGGGUGAGACUGCUAAUAUUGCUAGACCUGAUACUAAGACACGUAGACCUAUCGUAGGCACGCCUGUUAUUCCUGUUAGAAUAGGAGAUCAUUGUUAUCAUGCCUUAUGUGAUAUGGGUGCCAGUGCUAGUGCGAUACCUUAUGAUCUUUAUAAAGAAAUUAUGCAUGACAUUGCACCCGUUGAAUUAGAAGACAUUGAUGUUACUAUUAAGCUUGCUAAUAGGGAUACCAUUAAUUCUAUUGGGAUUGUUAGCGAUGUUGAAGUUUUGUGUGGGAAGAUUAAAUACCCUGUUGAUUUUCUUGUUCUUGCUUCCCCACAAGAUGCCUUUUGUCCCAUUAUUUUUGGUAGGCCCUUCUUGAAUACUGCUAGUGCUAAGAUUAAUUGUGGAAGGAAUACUGUCACCGUUGGCAUAGAUGGUAUGUCUCAUGAGUUUAAUUUUGCUAACUUUAGUAGACAACCUCGUGAAAGGGAACCACCUAGUAAGGAUGAGAUUAUUGAUCUUGCUUCCAUUGCUAUUCCUCCAACUGAUUCGUUAGAACAAUAUCUCCUAGACCAUGAAAGCGAUAUGUUUAUGAAGGAAAGGGAAGAAAUAGAUGAAGUGUUCCUUAAACAGGAACCUAUGCUGAAACAUAACCUUCCCGUUGAAAUUCUUGGGGAUCCCCCUCCACCCAAGGGUGAUCCCGUGUUUGAACUCAAACCAUUACCUGAUAAUCUUAAGUAUGCUUAUCUUGGUGAAAAGGAAAUAUAUCUUGUUAUUAUUAGUGCUAACCUUUCAGAGAAAGAAGAAGAAAUAUUAUUGAAAACUCUGAAGAAGCACCGUGCAGCUAUUGGAUAUACUCUGGAUGAUCUUAAGGGCAUUAGUCCCAUAUUAUGUCAACACAAGAUUUCAGUGGAGCAAGAUGCCAAACUAGUUAGAGAUCCUCAAAGACGAUUAAAUCCCAAGAUGAAGGAAGUGGUAAGAAAGGAGAUACUAAAGCUCCUUGAGGCAGGUAUUAUUUAUCCCGUUGCUAAUAGUGAAAGGGUAAGCCCUGUCCAUUGUGUCCUUAAAAAGGGAGGUAUUACCGUCGUUCCUAAUGAUAAAGAUGAAUUGACCCCGCAAAGAAUUAUUACAGCUUAUAGGAUGGUAAUUGAUUUCCUAAGUUAAAUAAGGCUACUAAGAAAGAUCAUUACCCUUUACCUUUUAUUGAUCAAAUGCUAGAAAGGCUAUCCAAACACACACAUUUUUGCUUUCUAGAUGGUUAUUCUGGUUUCUCUCAGAUACCUGUGUCAGCAAAGGAUCAAUCUGAAACUACUUUUACUUGCCCUUUUGGUACUUUUGCUUAUAGACGUAUGCCUUUUGGUUUAUGUAAUGCACCUGCUACCUUUCAAAGAUGCAUGAUUGCUAUAUUCUCUGAUUUUUGUGAAAAGAUUUGUCAGGUCUUCAUGGAUGACUUCUCCGUCUAUGGAUCCUCCUUUGAUGAUUGUUUGAGCAACCUUGAUCGAGUUUUGCAGAGGUGCGAAGACACUAGUCUCGUCCUGAAUUGGGAAAAGUGUCACUUUAUGGUUAAUGAAGGCAUUGUCUUGGGGCACAAGAUCUCCGAGAGAGGUAUUGAAGUUGAUAAAGCCAAAGUUGAUGCUAUUGAAAAGAUGCCAUGUCCCAAGGACAUUAAAGGUAUAAGAAGUUUCCUUGGUCAUGCCAGUUUUUAUAGGAGGUUCAUUAAGGACUUUUCUAAAAUCUCUAGGCCUCUGACUAAUUUAUUGCAAAAAGAUAUCCCUUUUGUCUUUGAUGAUGAUUAUGUAGAAGCUUUUGAAACACUUAAGAAAGCUUUGAUCACUGCACCUAUUGUUCAGCCACCUGAUUGGAAUUUACCUUUUGAAAUUAUGUGCGAUGCUAGUGAUUAUGCUGUAGGUGCUGUUCUUGGGCAAAGAGUAGAUAAGAAAUUGAAUGUUAUCCAGUAUGCUAGUAAGACUCUUGAUACUGCCCAGAGAAAUUAUGCUACUACUGAAAAAGAGUUCUUAGCAGUUGUGUUUGCAUGUGAUAAGUUUAGACCUUAUAUUGUUGAUUCCAAAGUUACUAUUCACACUGAUCAUGCUGCUAUUAAAUAUCUUAUGGAAAAGAAAGAUGCUAAGCCUAGACACAUUAGAUGGGUUCUCUUGCUCCGAGAAUUUGACUUGCAUAUUAUUGAUAGAAAAGGAGCUGAGAACCCCGUUGCAGAUAACUUGUCUAGGUUAGAGAAUGUUCUUGAUGACCCACUGCCUAUUAAUGAUAGCUUUCCUGAUGAACAAUUAGCGGUCGUCAAUGCUUCUCGUACUACUCCUUGGUAUGCUGAUUAUGCUAAUUACAUUGUUGCUAAAUUUAUACCGCCUACUUUCACAUACCAGCAAAAGAAAAAGUUCUUUUAUGAUUUAAGACAUUACUUCUGGAAUGAUCCACACCUUUAUAAAGAAGGAGUAGAUAGUGUUAUUAGACGUUGUGUGCCUGAGCAUGAAUAGGAACAUAUUUUACAUAAGUGUCACUCUGAAUCUUAUGGAGGACACCACGCUGGAGAUAGAACUGCACACGAGGUACUACAAUCUGGUUUCUAUUGGCCUACUCUUUUCAAAGAUGCUCGUAAGUUUGUCUUAUCUUGUGAUGAAUGUCAAAGAAUAGGUAACAUUAGUAGACGACAAGAAAUGCCUAUGAAUUACUCUCUUGUUAUUGAACCGUUUGAUGUUUGGGGCUUUGAUUAUAUGGGACCUUUUCCUGCCUCCAAUGGUUAUACACAUAUUUUAGUUGCUGUUGAUUACGUUACUAAGUGGGUAGAAGCUAUUCCAACUAGUAGUGGUGAUCAUAACACUUCUAUUAAAAUGCAUAAGGAAGUUAUUUUUCCGAGGUUUGGAGUCCCUAGAUAUCUUAUGACUAAUGGCGGUUCACAUUUUAUUCAUGGUGCUUUCCGUAAGAUGCUUGCUAAGUAUGAUGUCAAUCAUAGAAUCGCAUCUCCUUAUCAUCCGCAGUCUAGUGGUCAAGUAGAGUUGAGCAAUAGAGAGCUCAAAUUAAUUUUGCAAAAGACUGUGAAUAGAUCUAGAAAGAAUUGGUCCAAAAAACUUGAUGAUGCAUUAUGGGCCUAUAGAACUGCAUACAAAAAUCCUAUGGGUAUGUCUCCUUAUAAGAUGGUUUAUGGAAAAGCGUGUCAUUUACCUCUUGGACUUGAACAUAAGGCAUAUUGGGCUAUCAAAGAGCUCAACUAUGACUUCAAACUUGCCGGUGAGAAGAGGUUAUUUGAUAUUAGCUCACUUGAUGAAUGGAGAACCCAAGCAUAUGAGAAUGCCAAGCUUUUCAAAGAAAAAGUCAAACGCUGGCAUGAUAAGAGGAUACAAAAGCGUGAGUUUAACGUAGGAGAUUAUGCGUUAUUAUUCAACUCUCAUUUAAGAUUUUUUCCAGGAAAACUUCUCUCAAAAUGGGAAGGUCCCUACGUUAUCGAGGAGGUCUAUCGUUCUCGUGCUAUAAAAAUCAACAACUUCAAAGGCACGAAUCCGAGGGUGGUAAACGGUCAAAGAAUUAAACACUAUAUUUCAGGUAAUCCUAUCAAUGUUGAAACUAAUAUUAUUGAAACCGUAACCCCUGAGGAAUACAUAAGGGACACUUUCCAGAAUGUUCCAAACUCUGAAAAGGCAUAGGUAUGUGGUACGGUAAGUAAACCGACUCCAAAACAACUCCAAUGGCAAUUUUUAUCAGUUUGGAUUAUUUAAGAAUUUUAGGAAGAAAGAAGUAGUCCGAAAGGGACACGAGGCUCCCACAAGAGUGGAGGGCCCCCCCCUGUAGGGCGCGCCCCCCUGUCUCGUGGGCACCUCGUGUGCCUCCCAAACUCCAUUUUCUUGUAUGUUAUGUAUUUUGGUCGGUAAAAAUUUAUUAUAUAUAUUCCCGAAGGUUUUGACCACCGUAUCACGCAAUUAUCCUCUGUUUUCGUUUCGAGCUGUUCCUGUUGCGGAAUAAGCAAGACGUCUUCUCAGGAGUCAGUUGGGGAGAGCCGAGUGUCUCACCCAACGCUAGGUCCAAGAGCGAAUAAUGAUGCUUACCGCUUUGGAUCAUCAACGAAGGAUGAGAUGGAGGCUGAUUUGAAAAGGAUAGAUGCCAUGGAAGAAGACCAAGAAGUCACCUCUCGUCCCCGAGCAGAAUUCAUGAUGGGGGAACUACCGAGUGUGGCUAUUCCAACUUCGGUCAUCCCUUCCAACUCUAGAUUUCUUUCUUAUGAAAAUAUGAAAAAGAGUUUCACUUGUUCUCUAGAAGCUAUGCAGCAUCCUUGGGUAAAAGGAGCGUUGGCCGUUACGGGCAAGCUCCGAAAAGAAAUUAUGGAUCUCAAACAACAAGUCAAUAAGCACGAGGAGGAGAACCGCAUCCUGAAGGGCAUCAUCGCCAAGAAGAUCAUAACACCAACCGUGAAGAAGGAGAAAUAAUCACAUGGGUAUGGGCACUCCCCUUGGCAACUGCCGAGCUUGGGGGGGGGGUGCCCCGGUAUCGUAUCACCAUCACACUCCUAUCUUUACCGCUUUAUUUAGUUCGAUCCUUUUAGUAGUGUCUUGAUUUAGUAGUUUGAACUUUUGAUAUCAAGUAGUUUGAGUUUUGCUUUGUGAUCUCUUUAUGUAAUCGAGUUCGUGUUCUAUCUAUAAUAAAGUUUAGUGUUGAGUCAAGGGCUUUGUUGUUGCUAUGAUCUUGAGAAAGUAGAAAGAAUAAAAGAGUUCAUAUUGAUCUUAUGGAUAGUGGUAACUUCACAUAUAGAAAGUAUGAGGCAUAAAAAAUGUUGAGAGUUGAUGAACGUAGCCUUGGUCAUCGUUGCAAUUAAUAGGAAGUGAUAAUGAAAGAGGGGUUCACAUAUAGAUAUAUUAUCUUGGACAUCUUUUAUGAUUGUGAAGCACCCAUUAAGUGUGACAUGCUAAAAGAGUUGAUGUUGGACAAGGAAGACAACGUAAUGGUUUAUGUUUUCCGACAUCCCAGUUAAAGUAUAUUGUCAUUGACCUUCCAAACAUGUUGAGCUUGCCUUUACCCCUCAUGCUAGCCAAAUUCCUCACACCAAGUAGAAAUACUACUUGUGCUUCCAAAUAUCCUUAAACCCAGUUUUUGCCAUGAGAGUCCACCAUACCUACCUAUGGACUGAGUAAGAUCCUUCAAGUAAGUUGUCAUCGGUGCAAGCAAUAAAAAUUGCUCUCUAAAUAUGUUUGACUUAUUAGUGCAGAGAAAAUAAGCUUUGUACGAACUUGUUGUGGAAGUAAUAAAAGCGACGGACUGCAUAAUAAAGGUCCACAUACAAGUGGCAAUAUAGUGAUGUUCUUUUACAUUAAGAUUUUAUGCAUCAACCCUAAACGCUCAUGACAACCUCUGCUUCCCUUUGCGAAGGGCCUAUCUUUUACUUUAUGUUUUUGCUUUAUGCUUGAGUCAAGGUGAUCCUCACAUUUCCCUUUUUAUUUUUAUCCUUUGGCAAGAUCCUCGUGUUUGAAAGAUCAUGAUAUAUAUAUCCAAUUGGAUGUAAGUUAGCAUGGGCUAUUAUUAUUGACAUCACCUAAAGGUGAAUAUGUGAGGAGGCAACAAAAUAAGCCCCUAUCUUUCUUAGUGUCCGGCUGAAACUCUAUAACCACAAGUACUGCGUGAGUGUUAGCAAUUGUAGGACAUUACAAGAUAGUUGAGCAUGUGAGCUUGCUGAAAAGCUCUAUUAUCGAUUCUUUCUGAUGUUGCGAUAAAUUGCAAUUGCUUCAAUGACUGAGAUUAUAGUUUGUUAGUUCCCAAUGAAGUUUUUGAACCAUACUGGAUAUUGUGAAUUGCUUGUUACUUGAGCAUAGGAAAUCAUAUGACAAAAUCUAUAUACGUUGAUGUUGUUAGAAUGAUCAUGAUGCCCUCAUGUCCGUAUUUUAUUUUUUUAUCGACACCUGUAUCUCUAAACAUGCGGACAUAUUUUUCAAUUUUGUCUUCCGCUUGAGGACAAGCGAGGUCUAAGCUUGGGGGAGUUGAUACGUCCAUUUUGCAUCAUGCUUUUAUAUCAAUAUUUAUUGCAUUAUGGGCUGUUAUUACACAUUAUAUCUCAGUACUUAUGGCUAUUCUCUCUUAUUUUACAAGGUUUACCAUGAAGAGGGGGAAUGCCGACAGCUGGAAUUCUAGCUGGAAAAGGAGCAAAUGUUGGAAACCUAUUCUGCAUAGCUCCAAAAGUCCUAAAACUCCACGAAACAACCUUUUGGAAUUAAUAAGAAUUUAUGAGCGAAAGAAAUAGGCCAGGGGCCCACACCCUGUCCAAGAGACAGGGGGCACGCCCCCCCUAUAGGGCGCGCCCCUAUCUCCUAGGCCCCCUUGUGGGCCUCCGGCGUCCAUCUUCUGCUAUAUCAUCACGUUUACCCUAGAAAAAAUCGUGGGCAAGCUUACGGGACGAAACACGCCACCACGAGGCGGAACCUUGGCAGAAUCAAUCUAGGGCUCCGACGGAGCUGUUCUGCCGGGGAUACUUCCCUCCGGGAGGGGGAAAUCAUCACCAACGUCAUCACCAAUGAUCCUCUCAUCGGGAGGGGGUCAAUCUCCAUCAACAUCUUCACUAGCACCAUCUCCUCUCAAACCCUAGUUCAUCUCUUGUAUCCAAUCUUGUAUCAAAACCACAAAUUGGUACCUGUGGAUUGCUGGUAGUGUUGAUUACUCCUUGUAGUUGAUACUAACUGGUUUACUUGGUGGAAGAUCAUAUGUUCAUAUCCUUUAUGUAUAUUAUUACUCCUCUGAUUAUGAACAUGAAUAUUCUUUGUGAGUAGUUAUGUUUGUUCCUGAGGACAUGGGAGAAGUCUUGCUAUUAGUAGUCAUGUGAAUUUGGUAUUCGUUCGAUAUUUUGAUGAGAUGUAUGUUGUCUUUUCCUCUAGUGGUGUUAUGUGAACGUCAACUACAUGACCCUUCACCAUGAUUUGGGCCUAGAGGAAGGCAUGGGGAAGUAAUAACUAGAUGAUGGGUUGCUAGAGUGACAGAAGCUUAAACCCUAGUUUAUGCGUUGCUUCGUUAGGGGUUGAUAUGGAUCCAUAUGUCUAAUGUUGUGGGUAGGUUUACCUUAAUACUUCUUUUUGUAGUUGUGGAUGCUUGCAAUAGGGGUUAAUCAUAAGUGGGAUGCUUGUCCAAGUUAGGGCAGUACCCAAGUACUGGUCCACCCACAUAUCAAAUUAUCAAAUUACCGAACGCGAAUCGUUUGAGCGUGAUGAAAACUAGCUUGACGAUAAUUCCCAAUGUGUCCUCGGGAGCUCCUUUCUCAUUAUUAGAAAUUGUCCAGGCUUAUCCUUUGCUACAUAAAGGAUUGGGCCAACUUGCUGCAGUUUGUUUACUUUAUUUACUUGUUGCUCGUUACUAUUUAUCUUAUCACAAAACUAUCUAUUACCUACAAUUUCAGUGCUUGCAGAGAAAACCUUACUGAAAACCGCUUAUCAUUUCCUUUCGCUCCUCGUUGGGUUCGACACUCUUACUUAUCGAAAGGACUAAUGUUCCUCCCUCAUAAUAAUUUUCAGUAGCAUCAUGAAUGAAUUCAACAAUAUAACCAGCACCUAAACCAUUCUUUUCAUGAUCUACAAGCAAGAAAAUUUACUACUCUCCACAUAAGCAAAAUUCUUAUCAUCAAUAGUAGUGGGAGAAAACUCAACAAAAUAAUUAUUAUGUGAGGCAUAAUCCAAUUGAAAACUAAAAUCAUGAUGACAAGUUUCAUGGUUAUCAUUAUUCCUAAUAGAAUACAAGUCAUCACAAUAAUCAUCAUAGAUAGCAACUUUGUUCUCAUAAUCAAUUGGAACCUCUUCCGAAAUAGUGGAAUCAUCACUAAAUAAAUUUGACACUCUUCCAAAUCCACUUUCAUGUUCAUCACAAUAAGAUUCAACAUCCUCCAAAAUAGUGGGAUCACUACUUCCUAAAGUUGACACUCUUCCAAACCCACUUUCAUCAAUAUAAUCAUCAUAAAUAGGAGGCAUGCUUUCAUCAUAAUAAAUUUGCUCAUCAAAACUUGGGGGACAAAAAAUAUCAUGUUCAUCAAACAUAGCAUCCCCAAGCUUGUGGCUUUGCAUAUCAUUAGCAUCAUGGAUAUUCAAGGAAUUCAUACUAACAACAUUGCAAUCAUGCUCAUCAUUCACAUAUUUUAUGCCAAACAUUUUAUAGACUUCUUCUUCUAGCACUUGAGCACAAUUUUCCUUUCCACCAUUCUCACAAAAGAUAUUAAAAACAUGAAGCAUAUGAGACAAACUCAAUUCCAUUUUUUUUGUAAUUUUCUUUUAUAAACUAAACUAGUGAUAAAACACGAAACAAAAAGAUUCGAUUGCAAUAUCUAAAGAUAUACCUUCAAGCACUCACCUCCCCGGCAACGGCGCUAGAAAAGAGGUUGAUGUCUACUACACAACCUUCUUCUUGUAGACGUUGUUGGGCCUCCAAGUGCAGAGGUUUGUAGGACAGUAGCAAAUUUCCCUCAAGUGGAUGAC
rnacentral:lncRNA from 1 species